GAAACUUCUUUUAAGAGGGGUAGAUUGUAAUCCCCCGUAAUUUUAUACAUUUUAUUAAUAUAUUUUAACGUAUAGUUAAUUAUAUUUAAAUAGAAUUUACGAAUUUUAGAAAUAAAUAUUUAAGUUACGAAUAUUUAUUUUUAUACGUUUUAAAUAUUUCAACGAUUUAUGAAACUAAAAUAAUUUUAGAAUUUUAUGUUGAAAAAAAUUUGAAUUACGAAAACACGUGAAUUUAGAAAAUAAUCCUUUUGGAUUCAAACACUAAAAUUCAUUCCUAAUUCUAGACCAACUUGGUAAGCCCAAAAUAAAUAAGCCCAUAAUUCCCCACCCUUGUUUUGUUUCACGUGAAACUCAACUCCUCCUUGCUUCAAUUUCACGUGAAACCAAAAACACCAAAACCCUCAAACCUUGCUUCCUCAUUCACGUGAACUUGUUGCUCGUCUCCUUGGUUGUUUCAGCGCCGCCGGACCACCGUAGCUGCGCCACCAGUCCUCCUCCGCGUCGCCGCCGCCGCGCAACCACCGGCGAGUACACCUGACCGCCGUCGACCGUGCCUGCGGUCGUGCCCAGCCGCCGGCAACCCUUGCUUCUCGCACUCCCCUAUUCGUUGCUUCUUGCUUUCUGCCUCACAAGCAAAACAGUCCCUGCACAACCACCGCGGCCACCAACACUGUCGCCCAUUCCCGCGACCACCUGCCUUGUCGCCGCCGUCCCUCCUCCGGCCAGCACCCUUACUCCUCCUCUUUUUGGCGGAGAAUUCUUUGUAGGCGACUUUUGAAAGUGUUAAAGUGACCUAUUAUUUGUUUACACAAGUCCCUAAGGAUCAAUAAGCAUUGUCCAUCUGCAGGUUUGAAGAUGUUGCAUCAUUGGGAUCGGGAAUAGAGAGCUUGUAUUUUAGUUUUGAUUUGCUAAGUUGACUUGGGUUUGUUUAAUUGGACUUUAAACUUGUCGUACUAUUUAUAUUUCCUUAUUUUCGUUGGUUGAUUUUUGGGACUAAACCUGUAAUCGAUUAUUUAUAAACCUAAAGUUAGUUUUAUGUUUUCCGCUGCAAAAUUCUGAAUAAGCCGUUACGUUUUCACACGGGCGAUAAUGCCUUGAUAAUUCUCUACGUUUUAUAUUAAAAGGUUAUUUUAGAAAAGAAAGAAUUGUCGGGGUGUUACAAAGAAUUGUCGGGGUGUUACAUCUGAAUUGUUUGUAAGUUUGAAUGUGAAUUAAAGGUUUAUAUUUAUUUUAAAGAUUAUUCAUUCAAGGUUAUAUAAGGUUAUUUUGUGAGCCCAUAACCCACAGGUCCAGGAUCGAGUUUAAGAAUUAAGGUUAAUUAUUCCGCUGCGUGUUAAAGGUUAAUGGUGAUCAUUAAGGGUUAAGUGUUCUUUAUUAACAGCUCGAAAGAGCGGGCUGUUACACAAGGGGGCAAGUCAUGUAAAUAUUCGUGGUUUGCGAAUUCUGUGUUGCUUGCUUUGUUUUUGGAAAAAUGUGUUUGUU